UGCCUGCCACUAGCCAUGUAAAAUGUGACUUGCUCCUCCUCACCUUCCAUCAUGAUUGUGAAGCUUCCAUAGCCACACAGAACUAGAACAAUGUCUUGGCCUGCACAGAAUUGAUUUAAUGACCUGACUAUCCUUAAAAUAAGGGGAUGGAUACUUUUGAUUUUUUGGAAGGGGUUAGAAGGCAUCCAUCCUGUGGACAGGGAGGACACACCACCUCCUCUGUGAGACAGCACUGGGGAAACAAUGAGACCUCAGAGGGAAGAUGCCUGGAAGACAUGAAGUAGAGAACCUGUGGAACUGAGAUUUCCAAAAUCAGUUGGCAUUUCCAUUAACAGAAGCAGCAGUCAGCAGUCCUCGAGGAGCUGAGCAAGUUCUGCCAAUGGACCGCUCAUCAUGAAUUGUCAAAGGUGAAGACAGAGAGACACUGAGAGGUAUUAAGGGAUUGAUCCAGCCUCACCAUCAGUGGAGACCAGGUGGGUCCUCCAGAAGUAUUCCAGAAGAAGGCAUUGUUAUCAUAGGAGAUGACAUUUCCAUGGAUGUUACUGCCCUUGAAGACCUUCCAGUGGAAGAAGAUGUGGAAGUGGGAGACAGUGAUAUUGAUGACCCUCACCCUGUGGAAGCCUAGACUAAUGUGUGUCUUUGUGUCUUCAUUUUUAACAAAGAAGUUGAAAAAAUAAAAAUAAAUUUAAGAAUUUAGAAAUUGAAAAAAGCUUAUAGAAUAAGGAUAUAAGGAAAGAAUAUUUUUAUACAGCCAUACAAUAUGUUUGUGUUUAAGCUAAGCUUUAUUGUGAGUCAAAAAAGUUUUAAAAAUUUAAAAGUUUGUGAAAAAGUUAUGGUAAGCUAAGGUUAAUUUCCUAUUGAAAAAAAUAAAUGUAAAUACAUUUAGCGUGGCCUAAGUGUACAAUGUUUAUAAAGUCUACAGUAGUGCACAGUAAUGUCCCACACCUUCACAUUCACUCACCACUCACUCACUCACGGACCCACCCAGAGCAACUCACAGUUCCUGCAAGCUCCAUUCAUGGUAAAUACCCUAUACAGGUGCAACAUUUUUAAGCUUUUAUACUGUAUCUUGUACACAUAUUUUUACUGGAACUUUUGUAUGUUUAGAUACAUAAAUACUUAUCACUGUGUUGUCAUUGCCUAUGGUACUCAGUACAAUAACAUGCUCUACAGGUUUGUAGCCCGGGAGCAAUAUGCUGUACCAUACAGCCCAGGUGUGUAGGGGCUUUACCAUCUAGACCUGUGUAAGUACACUCUAUGAUGUUCACACAAUUACAAAAUUGCCUGAUGAUGCAUUUCUCAGAAUGUAUCCUCAUCAUUAAAUGAUGCAUGACUGUA